rnacentral:rRNA from 1 species
UACGAAGGGGGCUAGCGUUGCUCGGAAUGACUGGGCGUAAAGGGCGCGUAGGCGGAUGGCACAGUCAGAUGUGAAAUUCCCGGGCUUAACCUGGGGGCUGCAUUUGAUACGUGUGAUCUAGAGUGAGGAAGAGGGUCGUGGAAUUCCCAGUGUAGAGGUGAAAUUCGUAGAUAUUGGGAAGAACACCGGUGGCGAAGGCGGCGACCUGGUCCUUUUACUGACGCUGAGGCGCGAAAGCGUGGGGAGCGAACAGG